rnacentral:tRNA from 1 species
UCCCUGGUGGCUCAGACGGUAGAGCGUCUGCCUGCAAUGCAGGAGACCCAGGUUCGAUCCCUGGGUUGGGAA